rnacentral:rRNA from 1 species
AGAUUGAACGCUGGCGGCAUGCCUUACACAUGCAAGUCGAACGGCAGCACGGGAGCAAUCCUGGUGGCGAGUGGCGAACGGGUGAGUAAUAUAUCGGAACGUGCCCAGUCGUGGGGGAUAACGUAGAGAAAUUUACGCUAAUACCGCAUACGAUCCAAGGAUGAAAGCGGGGGACCGUAAGGCCUCGCGCGACUGGAGCGGCUGAUAUCAGAUUAGCUUGUUGGUGAGGUAAAAGCUCACCAAGGCGACGAUCUGUAGCUGGUUUGAGAGAACGACCAGCCACACUGGGACUGAGACACGGCCCAGACUCCUACGGGAGGCAGCAGUGGGGAAUUUUGGACAAU